UUUAUGGAGAGUUUGAUCCUGGCUCAGGAUGAACGCUGGCGGCGUGCCUAAUACAUGCAAGUCGAGCGAACGGACGAGAAGCUUGCUUCUCUGAUGUUAGCGGCGGACGGGUGAGUAACACGUGGAUAACCUACCUAUAAGACUGGGAUAACUUCGGGAAACCGGAGCUAAUACCGGAUAAUAUUUUGAACCGCAUGGUUCAAAAGUGAAAGACGGUCUUGCUGUCACUUAUAGAUGGAUCCGCGCUGCAUUAGCUAGUUGGUAAGGUAACGGCUUACCAAGGCAACGAUGCAUAGCCGACCUGAGAGGGUGAUCGGCCACACUGGAACUGAGACACGGUCCAGACUCCUACGGGAGGCAGCAGUAGGGAAUCUUCCGCAAUGGGCGAAAGCCUGACGGAGCAACGCCGCGUGAGUGAUGAAGGUCUUCGGAUCGUAAAACUCUGUUAUUAGGGAAGAACAUAUGUGUAAGUAACUGUGCACAUCUUGACGGUACCUAAUCAGAAAGCCACGGCUAACUACGUGCCAGCAGCCGCGGUAAUACGUAGGUGGCAAGCGUUAUCCGGAAUUAUUGGGCGUAAAGCGCGCGUAGGCGGUUUUUUAAGUCUGAUGUGAAAGCCCACGGCUCAACCGUGGAGGGUCAUUGGAAACUGGAAAACUUGAGUGCAGAAGAGGAAAGUGGAAUUCCAUGUGUAGCGGUGAAAUGCGCAGAGAUAUGGAGGAACACCAGUGGCGAAGGCGACUUUCUGGUCUGUAACUGACGCUGAUGUGCGAAAGCGUGGGGAUCAAACAGGAUUAGAUACCCUGGUAGUCCACGCCGUAAACGAUGAGUGCUAAGUGUUAGGGGGUUUCCGCCCCUUAGUGCUGCAGCUAACGCAUUAAGCACUCCGCCUGGGGAGUACGACCGCAAGGUUGAAACUCAAAGGAAUUGACGGGGACCCGCACAAGCGGUGGAGCAUGUGGUUUAAUUCGAAGCAACGCGAAGAACCUUACCAAAUCUUGACAUCCUUUGACAACUCUAGAGAUAGAGCCUUCCCCUUCGGGGGACAAAGUGACAGGUGGUGCAUGGUUGUCGUCAGCUCGUGUCGUGAGAUGUUGGGUUAAGUCCCGCAACGAGCGCAACCCUUAAGCUUAGUUGCCAUCAUUAAGUUGGGCACUCUAAGUUGACUGCCGGUGACAAACCGGAGGAAGGUGGGGAUGACGUCAAAUCAUCAUGCCCCUUAUGAUUUGGGCUACACACGUGCUACAAUGGACAAUACAAAGGGCAGCGAAACCGCGAGGUCAAGCAAAUCCCAUAAAGUUGUUCUCAGUUCGGAUUGUAGUCUGCAACUCGACUACAUGAAGCUGGAAUCGCUAGUAAUCGUAGAUCAGCAUGCUACGGUGAAUACGUUCCCGGGUCUUGUACACACCGCCCGUCACACCACGAGAGUUUG
rnacentral:rRNA from 1 species